UACGUAGGUCGCAAGCGUUGUCCGGAUUUACUGGGCGUAAAGAGCGCGCAGGCGGCUGGUCAAGUCCGAUGUGAAAUCUCCCGGCUUAACUGGGAAACUGCAUCGGAAACUGAUCGGCUUGAAGGUGGGAGAGGGUAGUGGAAUUCCCGGUGUAGCGGUGAAAUGCGUAGAUAUCGGGAGGAACAUCAGUGGCGAAGGCGGCUACCUGGCCCAAUACUGACACUCAGGUGCGACAGCGUGGGGAGCAAACAGG
rnacentral:rRNA from 1 species